rnacentral:rRNA from 1 species
UACAGAGGAGCCAAGCGUUGUCCGGAUUGACUGGGCGUAAAGCGCACGCAGGCGGACGCGCGCGUGGGGUGUGAAAUCUGGCCGCUUAACGGCCAGGCGCCAUCCCAUACGGCGUGUCUGGAGUGAUGCAGAGGUCGGUGGAAUUGCCGGUGUAGUGGUGAAAUGCGCAGAUAUCAGGAGGAACACCGGUGGCGAAGGCGGUUCUCUGGGCAUUACCUGACGCUGAGGAGCGAAAGUGUGGGGAGCGAACAGG